CCUGAUUGGUCGAUAUGUGCGCCCGUUAUUUUUUAUUUUUAAAGACUUCGUGCACUCUGCUUUAUACAAAAGGCAAAAUAACAAUUAUUCCGUAGCCCUAAAGGCACUGAGAUGACUUUUUAACGCUAGGACAAGACACGUAUUUUUAAGGGCAAAAUUGAUAGGCAUGGGAGAUAAGUACAAAAUACGCUAAGAAAAGCAACGCGAACCUAUAUUUUUGGGACCAAAAAAUAC
rnacentral:lncRNA from 1 species